UAUUACGUUGCCAAUUCGUUCCCUUUUCUCUCGCACAGCUCAUAGAAAAGCUCUCGAGAAUCGGGGAGAAUUUCCACUCCUAAUUCUCGGAAGCAUCAUCUAGAUUACUCUUAAUUUCGAUCGGUUAUUUCGCAUCAAGCGCAGUCGAGCAAGGUAUUGGUGUUUUUUCUUGUUGAUUUUGGGAUUUCGAGAUGGAUUUGUGAGUGAUUCUUGCGAAAUGGAGACCUGGCGGUCAGCCGGAUUUUGUGGUUCCAUCCUAUGAGACGCCGGCCGUUAGUGAUUGCCCCGUCAGAGCAUAUGGAGCGAGGAGCCGGGAAGAAUCAGAACUCUCGGCUUUGUUUUCUUGUGUUAUUGUCGGCGUUCUUCUGGAUCCUAUUGUUGUACUUCCAUUUUGCGGUGCUUGGAGGUCAAUCUGAUGAUGAAUCAAUCAAAUUAAACCCCCAAGAUGGACCUGUAGACUUGCCUGUAGUCCGGAAAUUUGCCCCUUCACAGGUCGUCGAUGCACCGAAAGUCGAUGUGAUAUCAAUCCGCGUGCCUCCUCAGCCUCCUCAGCCUGUGGACCGGCAGCCUAAAUCCACCGCCGAACCUGAGAUUCAGAAAUUUUCGUUUGUUAAGGCAUUGAAAACUGUUGAAAACAAGAGCGAUCCAUGCGGUGGGAGGUAUAUAUUUGUUCACGACCUUCCUUCUAGCUUUAAUGAGGAUAUGCUGAGGGAGUGUAAGAGUCUAAGCCUUUGGACAAAUAUGUGUAAGUUCACAACUAACGCUGGGCUUGGUCCACCACUUGAAAAUGUGGAAGGAGUGUUCUCUGAUACAGGGUGGUAUGCCACAAAUCAGUUUGCCGUCGAUGUGGUUUUCAGUAAUCGAAUGAAGCAAUAUGAUUGUUUGACUAAGGAUUCUUCCAUUGCUGCUGCUUUUUUUGUGCCAUUUUAUGCUGGAUUCGAUAUCGCGAGAUACCUUUGGGGAUAUAACAUAUCCACUAGAGAUAGAGCUUCACUUGAUUUGGUCAACUGGCUCGAAAAAAGACCCGAAUGGGGCAUUAUGGGUGGUCGAGAUCAUUUCCUUGUUGCAGGUAGGAUAACGUGGGAUUUCAGAAGGCUCUCCGAGGAAGAAACGGAUUGGGGAAAUAAGCUUCUGUUUUUACCUGCUGCUAAGAACAUGUCCAUGCUUGUUGUUGAAUCAAGUCCAUGGAAUGCCAAUGAUUUUGGUAUUCCAUACCCAACAUAUUUCCAUCCUGCAAAGGAUGCUGAUGUGUUUAAUUGGCAGGAUCGGAUGAGAAAACUUGAACGGAAAUGGAUGUUUUCGUUCGCAGGUGCUCCACGCCCCGACAAUCCCAAGUCAAUAAGAGGGCAGAUUAUUGAUCAAUGUAAGAAAUCUAAGGUCUGCAAGCUGCUCGAAUGUGAUUUUGGGGAGAGCAAGUGUCAUUCUCCGAGCAGUAUAAUGCAAAUGUUUCAGAGCUCCGUUUUCUGCCUGCAACCUCAGGGCGACUCGUAUACCAGAAGAUCAGCUUUCGAUGCUAUGUUAGCCGGUUGCAUACCCGUCUUCUUCCAUCCAGGGUCAGCAUACACCCAAUAUACUUGGCAUCUCCCCAAGAAUUUCACAAGAUAUUCUGUAUUCAUCCCAGAGGAUGAUAUCCGCAAGAGAAACGUUAGCAUAGAAGAAAGGCUUGCUCAAAUUUCUCCUGGGCAGUUGAAACUAAGGCAGGAGGAGGUAAUCAAUCUGAUUCCAAUAUUGGUAUACGCUGAUCCGCGCUCGAAGUUGGAAACUUUGAAGGAUGCUUUCGAUGUCUCAGUGCAAGCUAUUAUCGACAAGGUUACGAAGUUGAGGAAGGAUAUCAUUGAAGGACACACCGACGAUAAUUUCAUCGAGGAAAAUAGUUGGAAAUAUGCGUUACUGGAAGAUGGGCAGCGGGAAGUCGGACCUCAUGAAUGGGAUCCUUUCUUCUCCAAACCGAAGGACGGGGAUUCCAACGACGCAUCAGCCGAAGCUGCAAAAAAGUCAUGGAAAAAUGAGCAGAGAGACAAAUCGUGAAAUUCAUCGGCUGCAGUUCAUUGGUGAUUCCUAAUGAUUUCUACAGAUAAGCUCAAUAGAAGCAUAACGAAGAGCUUCCAGCAUCGAACCCGGGACGUUUUAUAGAUUGAAAGCUCAAUCAUCAACCAGCCAAAGGGCUGUCCUUCAAAAACAAAGCACAUAUGAAAUAAAUUACCUGUUCUAAGAGCCUGUUUGUUAGGAUCCCUUGCGGUCAUUCCAAAUCGGUUCCAAAUCGGUUCCAAAUCACAACAUUAAAGUAAGAAUACCUUUAUAAUGGAUUUUUCAUACAAUCAUUUUCAACUUAUGAGAAAUAGUUUUAUCAGUGGUUUCUCCCCCUCCUCUCAAGGGAAGGGCAGGGCAGGGCAGAGCAGGGCAGGUUCUUACGUGAUAUUCAGACGGGUUUCAGCUGUUGUUCCCCUCCUCUCAAGCGCAGGGCAGGUUCCUACGUGAUGAUAUUCACCCGUCCGCCCUCCUGGAAACAUGACUUUCAAUUCGGCAACAUGCUCCUUCUUUCAAGGGCAAGUUCUUAUGUGAUAUUCACCUAUUCGCCAUUCACCGAUCCGCCACGGAAAAUAUCACCAGCCAUUUGACGACAUGUCGAUUUAUAAUGGAAGUUUGUUGUUCUCCUCUCAAGGGCAUGGAAGGUUGAGAACAAUGUGAUAUUCACCUAUUCGCCAUUCACCUAUCCGCCACGGGAAAUAUCACCAGCCAUUCGACGACAUGUCGAUUUAUAAUGGAAGUUUGUUGUUCUCCUUCCCUCAAGGGCAUGGAAGGUUGUUGUUGUUCUCCUUCUCUCAAGGGCAAGUUCUUACGCGAUAUUCACUCACCUAUCUCCCACGAGAAACAUCAUCAUCCAUUCGGCAAUUUGUUGCUGAUUCCUAGUGCUAAUUUAUAAUUGAAGUUCGUUGUCAUUUCCCUUCCCUCAAGGACAAGUUCUUACGUGAUA